rnacentral:rRNA from 1 species
UACAGAGGGUGCAAGCGUUGUUCGGAAUUAUUGGGCGUAAAGCGCGUGUAGGCGGCUUUGCAAGUCGGAUGUGAAAGCCCUCGGCUCAACCGAGGAAGUGCGUUCGAAACUGCAGAGCUUGAGUGCCGGAGAGGGUGGCGGAAUUCCCCAAGUAGAGGUGAAAUUCGUAGAUAUCGAGGAGGAACACCGGUGGCGAAGGCGCUCGAUCGGCCCAAAUACUGACGCUGAGGCGCGAAAG